rnacentral:rRNA from 1 species
GUGGGGAAUUUUGGACAAUGGGCGAAAGCCUGAUCCAGCCAUGCCGCGUGCAGGAUGAAGGCCUUCGGGUUGUAAACUGCUUUUGUACGGAACGAAAAGACUCCUUCUAAUAAAGGGGGUCCAUGACGGUACCGUAAGAAUAAGCACCGGCUAACUACGUGCCAGCAGCCGCGGUAAUACGUAGGGUGCAAGCGUUAAUCGGAAUUACUGGGCGUAAAGCGUGCGCAGGCGGUUAUAUAAGACAGAUGUGAAAUCCCCGGGCUCAACCUGGGAACUGCAUUUGUGACUGUAUAGCUAGAGUACGGUAGAGGGGGAUGGAAUUCCGCGUGUAGCAGUGAAAUGCGUAGAUAUGCGGAGGAACACCGAUGGCGAAGGCAAUCCCCUGGGCCUGCACUGACGCUCAUGCACGAAAGCGUGGGGAGCAAACAGGAUUAGAUACCCUUGUAGUCC